CGCCUGUUUAUCAAAAACAUGGCCUUUUGAUUAUUAUUUAAGGUCUAGCCUGCCCACUGAGUACUUAAAUGGCUGCGGUACACUGACCGUGCAAAGGUAGCAUAAUCAUUAGUUUUUUAAUUGAAAGCUGGUAUGAAUGGCUGAACAAGGGAAUAUCUGUCUCUACUAAAAUUUUUGAAUUUUAUUUUUAAGUAAAAAGGCUUAAAUGAUAUUAAAAGACGAGAAGACCCUAUAGAGUUUUAUAUUUUCUGGUAUUUGAACUUUUAGAAUUAUCACCUUGUAUAGUAGAAUUUAUUUAGUUGGGGAGAUUGAAAAAUUAAAUAAACUUUUUCUUUAUUUUUACAUUAAUGAGUGAAUAGUUGAUCCAAUUUUUUUGAUUAUAAGAUAAAAUUACCUUAGGGAUAACAGCGUAA
rnacentral:rRNA from 1 species